GCUGGCCUGUCUAUAUUCAUCCUGAGACACACGACUGCAUAUAAAUACAUGUUUAAUAAAGGGGAGCAUGUAAAAUAUAUCAGUAGGUGGGAGAUAAACA
rnacentral:lncRNA from 1 species